GUCCUUAGUACGAGAGGACCGGGAUGGACAUACCUCUGGUGUACCAGUUGUCGUGCCAACGGCAUAGCUGGGUAGCUAUGUGUGGACGGGAUAAGUGCUGAAAGCAUCUAAGCAUGAAGCCCCCCUCAAGAUGAGAUUUCCCAACUUCGGUUAUAAGAUCCCUCAAAGAUGAUGAGGUUAAUAGGUUCGAGGUGGAAGCAUGGUGACAUGUGGAGCUGACGAAUACUAAUCGAUCGAAGACUUAAUCAA
rnacentral:rRNA from 1 species